UUUUAAGUAUCAAUAUACUUAGUGUAUCUAAUUACUUAGGUAAUGGUAUUAUGAUUUCAUUUUAAUUUCAUCUCUUUACAGGAUUUCAUUGUGAGAUGCAUGUUUAUUUGCAAGUUAUUGGAAUUGAUUAUAAUAUACCUGUUACUGAUGGCACAAACAAUCCUAACAAAAUCUCCAAUGUACGGAACCUGGCUCGUUGGCAGGAUUUUCCCAAGUUGACAUCUGCCUGUCUCCAUGAGCCAUAAAGGAUGGCAUCUGUGCCUUGAUACCUAGUUCCUCCAAGUAAUCCAAGGAGUCUCUGAAACCACGGUCCACCACAAAUACAUCAUCCUCGCAAACCCAUCCCUGUAUGUCAUCGAUAUUUCUUUUCAAAAUGUGGUUGAGUAUGGAGGCAUCAUUGUUUUUUGCAAUAUAAGGGCCUAAUACAGAAACAAAGUAGCCUGUCGAUGACACAAUGACCAUAGGUUUCACAAGUGGCCUGCCUUUGUGGAGACUGUAGGAUUGACGUUGAAAUCUAAAAUUACCACUUUUGUUGAUGUAGAUGUACGUCCCAUCCAAUAUAAGUAUGGCUUGCUGAGUUGUGUCAUCACCAAAAAGUGUCUGGGCAAGGGGUCGCGUAUGCUUAUUGAUUAUCUCCUCUCGCGUUAUGUGACCAAAUCCAAGGUUUUCUGUGACAAAACCUCCAGUCAUCAAUAUAUUGCGGACAGCUCGCACACUUCUUUGUAUACUGGAUUUGGAAAUAUUAAACAAUGUGGACAAAAUCUUGUUUGACUCCCCUCCUCUCAAUUUUAGCAAAAAGAUUGCAAGGCUGGUUCUGGUAGUUCUAGCAGGAGUUAUUUUGAUUUUCCCCUCGAUAAACAGCAUCAUGUCAUUGAAAGAAGCUUUUGAUAUCCCCAGGAGAUCUACAUAUUCAGUGUCUGUGUUUUGGGCAGCAACGAGCUCCAGCAGGAAUUAUGACUUCUUUGGUGAUAAAGAUUCAAUGACGAAAUCCCACUGGAACCACAACUAGCUUUGGUCCUGGCCUUUUGCAGAUGCAACAUGCAGCAUGUCCUCUUGAUGUGCAAGGAAAAGGAAGAGUUACUGAUGGUGGACUGAACUGAGGUGUUAAAGUUGUAGAUGAUGUUGAUGGUGCGGAUUCACCUUGACAAUCUGUCGUGCUCGCCAUGCUAUGACCUUUGCGUUUUAUGUGACGUGCACACAUGCACCUACAUCUGUUGCAUAGGAAGUCAUCGUCACCUGGUGUUCUCCCAGAUAGUUUGGAGAUAACGACUCUGUAUUUUCUUGCAAUGCUGUAUCUGUCUUUCUGUCGUACCACGCGUGGACAAUUACAACAGUUGUAAGAUUUCUUACCAGCCAU